rnacentral:rRNA from 2 species
UACGAAGGGGGCUAGCGUUGCUCGGAAUUACUGGGCGUAAAGGGCGCGUAGGCGGAUGACUAAGUCGAGGGUGAAAGCCCGGGGCUCAACCUCGGAACUGCCUUUGAUACUGGUCAUCUUGAGUACGGGAGAGGUGUGUGGAACUCCGAGUGUAGAGGUGAAAUUCGUAGAUAUUCGGAAGAACACCAGUGGCGAAGGCGACACACUGGCCCGUUACUGACGCUGAGGCGCGAAAGCGUGGGGAGCAAACAGG